rnacentral:rRNA from 1 species
UACGUAGGGUGCGAGCGUUAAUCGGAAUUACUGGGCGUAAAGCGUGCGCAGGCGGUUCGUUAUGUCCGUUGUGAAAGCCCCGGGCUCAACCUGGGAAUGGCAAUGGAAACUGGCGGGCUAGAGUGUGGCAGAGGGGGGUGGAAUUCCGCGUGUAGCAGUGAAAUGCGUAGAGAUCGGGAGGAACAUCUGUGGCGAAGGCGACUGCCUGGACCAGCACUGACACUGAGGCACGAAAGCGUGGGGAGCAAACAGG